rnacentral:rRNA from 1 species
ACGCUCGACACCUACUGGAGGCAGCAGUGGGGAAUAUUGCACAAUGGGGGAAACCCUGAUGCAGCGACGCCGCGUGAAGGAAGAAGUAUCUCGGUAUGUAAACUUCUAUCAGCAGGGAAGAAAAUGACGGUACCUGACUAAGAAGCCCCGGCUAACUACGUGCUAGCAGCCGCGGUAAUCUGAGCGGGCUGGCAAGGC